UGGGAAUGCUUCUGUGCCCUCAUUUCCCAACUGAGUUUCUAUUUGUGCUCUGCUUUCUCCCAUCUCCACCCCCUUUAUGAAUUGAGGGGGAGAAAUCCAGACCAUACAGCCUGGUAAAAAGCCUUUUAGAAGGAAAAAUGGCUGCCUGGUAUCUUGAAGAUUUCAAAGUGGUUUCCUUGGAUUAACAGAAAUAUUCUGAACUCUACAAAGAAAACCAAAUCCUUUUCUGGGAACAGAAUUCUUCGACAUCCCAUCUCUGCUCAUCAGGGCACUUCCAUUCCAUCUGAUGAUGAACAAUAUAUGCCACCCAACAGUACAGGGCCCAGAAUGAUAAUGAUUCAGAGGCUGAUGAGCCCCACCCCUUCCCAAUAGAAACGAGAUACAUCCAUGGAUCUGGAGGUCAAGAUGCCUCCGAGGCUGUAGGGGAUUGAAUAACAUUGAGUAAUUUCUGCCACAGGAAUGCAACUGCUAGACUAUCCUUGGUUCAGACAACUGUUGUGGCCCAUGAGGAAGGAGCAGAAGCUAAUAAUGAAAGGCAGCCAGCCUUGAUCUGAUGACAUCCAGAGAUGGUGAAUCCUCCACUUGUUCUUGUGAGCGGAAGAGCACAUGCAUGUGGAUCAGGUGGAAUGAAAGAAAAAGACUGUCUAACAUGUUCUCAGAGCUUGUUCAUUCAUCCAGACACCCACCCAAACUUCCUUCAAAAAACAGAAAAAUGACUCCUCUUGACCCCCUUUUAUAUUCUCCUAUAGAUGUUUCUCAUGAAUUAAGCUGUGUGGGAUAUCUCCAAGUUCCUAUCUGUUUGCACUGGGAUCACAGAGCUCUCACUUGUGAUUUUAAAAAUAUGUUUUGUGCUGAACAUUUCUGAAAAUGAAAAUAAACUUUUCCCCCAAACUUUAAUUGAUACUGAUCCUAAUACCAAUCUAGCUCGUGAUCUCUCUACAACAUUAGAUAAAUUGAAGAAUUUUGUGUUGAAGAAUUUUUGUCUCUGAUCUGCAGUGCAGAUUUCAGGCCUAAGCCACCUGCCAUUUGCCACUGUCAGAAGACAGGACACUGGGCUAGAUGGACCUUUGUUCUGAGCCAAUAUGACUGUUUUUAUGUAAUCCUGUUCCUCUGAAAAUCAAUGAGAGGAAGAUUGGGCUCCUCAAAUGCAUAUUUUAUACUUAUUCCAUAGGUUGAACUCCCAUGGCUAUCAGUGGAAGUGCUGGACAGAGAACAAAUGAAGAAUAUGCUAUGGAUAUCUGCAGUAGAGCUCAGAUAAGAUGCUUUUAAAAGCCUAUGAUGUUUAUAUGUCUGCAUGUAUACAUAUUCAAGCCUACCUGGAACCCUAGCUAUAUAGCCAUGAUUUUUGGCAUGUGGGGACUUUUUCCUGAUGGGUGGAUGGACGCUGUGGCGUUAGUUCAUGACUACCUAUUUUCUCACUCUUCAGAAAUGUCUAUAGUUUAUCAUGCUUCAGCUUUAUGACUCUUGGCAUGAGCCCCUAGAGGCAAAUAGGCAACUGCUGCUCUCAUGCUACCAUGAACGUGCCCGAUUCUUCUCCCAGUCACAAAAUUCUGAGAUUAGCCACUGACAGUUAAAUUCAUGCAUAGUUGGUUAAUAUGAUGUGGUAUGUGAAACAAUCCAAUCCUGGUCACAAAUUCCUGGCAUUUUUAUGUUAUGUUUCCAUCCUUAUUUUGAAAUUGUGAAAUACGUUUGUUACCAUGAGUUAGAGUAUUUCUCCAAGUACUAACAAAAAAAAUAAUUAAAAACUGAAAUUGUUUCCUUGUACUGUCUGUGCCUCUGUAUCCACUUCUCUUGUCUUAGUCUUAGAUUGUAAGUUUUUGGGUCAGAAACCAUGUUUUUGUUCUGUAUUUGUACAGUUCCUAGCACAAUAGGGUCCUGGCCCAUGACUGGGGAUCUUAGGCAUUACCACAAUACAAGUAAAUUUAUAAUUAUAGUAAUAAAAAUAAUGAUAAUGCAGUAAUUUGAGCUGAUCUAUCCUAAAGAAACACAAAUCAGUGAAAAAAUAAUGAUGGUGAUAGUUUUACAAUACAUACUAGUUUUUCUUUUAAUGAAUUCAUUGCUUGCGAGAGGUAGAUCAUCAGACUCAGAUACUACAGUCCAUUUAUGAAUAACAAAAGUUCAGCGUGAGCAGCAGUACUGCAGGCUUUCUCACAGUAUCUCACCGAUCUGUUUCAACCCAGCUAUGAAGGGAGGAAACGAGAAAGUAGCUUAUUCUGGCCCAUUCCAUCCUUGGAUUUCAGUUUUGAUGGCAAUACUUAGUCACCAGGAACCCUCACCGAGACACCAAGCCAUUUCAAAUCAUAAGCUACUGAAGAACUGUCAUAAGGUAAUGACUUUCCCUCACUAACAACUCACCUGGCUUCAGUCCAAUGAACUAGAAUGAAAGGCUCUGAGAUUUAUCAGCACCAAGCUCUUGAGCCAUUUGUGGGAGCAGCUAUUGUUAUGUAAGGAUGUGGGGGAAGUGGCAGAGACCAAAGGCCAUCUUCCAUUUGGAACGGCAGGGCUUUUAAUUCUAGGGCGGGAGAUAGAAUGGUGGCAGGUAGCAGCUUACAGCAGGAUCUCUUUUCUGGGUUAUAUAGUGCCUGAAUUAAAAUAACUGUUAAAUAAAAGCUCUCUAUGCCUUAAUAAGAACACUGCCACAUCAUUCAGUGCCCUGCUCCACAAUAUGUCUCAGAUUUAUUGCCAUAAAAGCACAGGGCAAAUCUAGAUACUGUGUGAGCCACAUGAAGACCCUGUCCGAUACACAUAGUGACCCUGUGCCUCCUAUCUGACACCCAGCCUCCUGUGGUUCUCUCCUGACUCCAUAUCAGCAUGGCUCCAGUAAAACCAUGCUGACAUUGCUUCCACCAGUCUCUGUAAUCCCCCUUUAAAGAAGGCUGUGCAGGCAGAGGUGGUGCAUGAAAAAGUUAAGGUUGCCUCAGGUUUUAUUUACUUCUCCAAGGCUUGAAAAGGAGUGGGAUGUUGUGCAUCCCCCUUAGCUCUGCCCCAGCCCUCCUUCUAUUCCUGUCCUGUACAGUCCCCACUCCCUCCAUUUUACACUUUGAAUUUCUUGACUGUUUUCUGGAUAACUUUAUAACUUUAAACCUGCAAUAAGAGGGCUUUUUUUUCAUUUAAUUUCCUUAGGAUUUAAAAAAAGAAAAAGAAGAGAAAAGGAACUAAUAUAUAUAUUUAAUAUGACACAUAUGUCAAUGAUAACUGAAGGGCCACUAAUUAAGAGUUUCAUAUUACUUCAUAUGAAGCACCUUUCAUAUGACCUUACCACUUAAUGUACAGUCAUGCCAUGUUAUUAGAGGGAAUGAGGCUGUGCUAAAUAACCUUGGGAGUUACAGGUAUGAGGCACUUCAGAGUUUAAUACUUUGUUUAUUAUUUCCCAUAAUUAUGUCACUGAAUUACUGAGAUUGUUGUAUAAACAUUAUUUAACAUUCAGAUUACUUAAAAAGUCUAAAUGAAGCUUUGAAAUAAAUUCAGAUUGAUUCCUAGGGAAUUGCUGAAUAAGAGAACCAAACCUAGAAAACAAAACCUGCAAAGUUGUUCAGCAAAUUGUUUACCUUAGUUUGUAACUUUUCAGGAAAUGGAUUCUUAGAAAACCCUGUUUCAACCUUACAACCAGAAAAGUAUUUCAGGGACUGCCAGGGAGGACCCCUUCUGUCACUUCUGGCACCUGCUUAUGCUUCCAGGUAGGCUAUCACAGGCCAGUUUCAUUCAUCUUUCUCAGACAUGGACAGUGGUUGGAGGCUCCAGGCUCAGUGAUAAUAAAGGAGGGUUGGGCAAAAGUAACCUCAGUUCUACUCCACCUAGAAAUUUCUCCCUCACAGCCAUCAAUCAUAAAAGAGUUGAUUACAUUUACCACCUUAGAGAGGUUGACAUGCCUGCCAUAAGCUUUUGUGAGGAUUUCAGAUUUAGUGUCUCCUGAGGGAUUCCAUUUACAUUGUUCAGGUACCAUAAUAUGUUGUGUGGGUUUGGUGCAGCAGAGCACAAUCAUGUUUUAACCUUUACCCAUUUGAUAAAUAGGAUCAUAGCUUUUAGGCUGAGGAUGAAAUGCUCUGGUAGUAAAGGUUAAAACAGUCUCCUCACUGAUUGUGGGGGCAAGUGGGUGAUUGGCAGCCAUCAUUUUCCCAAGGUUGGGAAUUAAGGUAUAUAAUAUUGUUAAUAAAUUGUAAACACACUAUCUGGAGUAAACAUGGGAUGUGUCAGCAGAUAUAGGCAGUCUAUAUGUGUGGAGUUUUGUGAUCCAAGAACAGUAGCUAGUCAUAAACAAGCCUUGUUAGAAGCUACAGUAUCCUUAGUUUAUAGGUUAGAGGACAGCUUAGGGACAUCAUGCCCCCGCUAAGUGAUGAAUGUGUUCUGAAAGGACUGAGGCCAGCAAUGGGAAAAGGACUGUCCUUGCCUCUCUCCUUUCAUCAGCUGCCAGCUCACUUAGCCUGUGGGUCUAGUUUGUUUUUGUUUGUCUAGUAAUCAAGCUGUGGCCUCUUUAAUCAUCAGAACAUAACUAUUCUUUUCUUGUUCACAUGUGGCUAUGACCCGCAGCUCCAUCACAAUUCCCUUCUACUGCAUGUAACAUGACCGUAACAUAGCCUCAUAAAACAUGCUCCAACAGCAGCUUGAUAGCCUCAGUUCAGACUCCCAUGUUGUAUAUACUCAAACCACCACAUUUCUCAGUACAAUUUGCCACUAGAGAGUAGCUCUCUAAAAUGCAAAGCUUUAGGCUAGAGAGGCAAUUGAUUCUUGAUUCUUAUUUACUUAUUGAGUAUGAACAUAAUUAGACUUUCAUCUCAAAAAAUAUUAUCAUUAGCUGGUGCGAGUUUUGUUUGACGGGCCUGAUAAUCAAUCAUCAGAUUUCACCACUUGUUUUGUGGCAUUGUAUUUCAUCACUUGGUACAGUAUGUAACAUUAUAAAGCAUAAGUUUGUUAACUGAGUAUUUAUUUGAAUGGGUUUCACUA